GUUGAAUAAUGUGGAAAAGUUGAAAAAGGAUUGCGAAGCUCUGGAGGAUUUGUUUUGCAGGAAAUUUUGCCCGUAGUCUUGAGUGAAGAAAAUAUUCGAAGUAAUCAAAACAAACUAAUGUGAAGGAAUUAACGGAGGAACGUAAAUAUAAGUGAUCCGGCUACCGUCCGAUGAUGAAGCCGAUGCAUCGCGAUGAGAGUUCAAUAUUCUUUAGGAAAAGUAGCUGAAUUUCGGGAAUUUCGAGAAAGAAAUUUGAGA